rnacentral:rRNA from 1 species
GACGAACGCUGGCGGCGUGCUUAACACAUGCAAGUCGAGCGGAGCGGCGAACGGGUGAGUAACGCGUGAGUAACUGCCCCCCUCUCUGGGAUAACAGUUGGAAACGGCUGCUAAUACCGGAUAGUGGGGGAUGACUCGCGUCCUAUCAGGUGGUUGGUGGGGUAGUGGCCUACCAAGGCCACGACGGGGAGCCGGCCUGAGAGGGCGACCGGCCACAUUGGUCGGAGAAACGGCCCAGACUGCUACGGGAGGCAGCAGUGGGGGAGAGUGCACAAUGGGCGAAAGCCUGAUGCAGCGACGCCGCGUGGGGGAUGAAGGCUUUCGGGUUGUAAACCUCUUUCGCUAUCGAAAGUGUAGGUGGAGAAGAAGCGCCGGCUAACUACGUGCCAGCAGCCGCGGUAAUAC